rnacentral:tRNA from 1 species
GGCUCUGUGGUAUAAUGGAUAGUACAUUGGACUUCUAGGAGGUGUUUGAAGCUAUUCAAAGGUUGUGGGUUCGAGUCCCACCAGAGUCU